rnacentral:rRNA from 1 species
UACGGAGGGUGCGAACGUUAAUCGGAAUCACUGGGCGUAAAGCGCACGUAGGCGGAUGUGUCAGUCAGGGGUGAAAUCCCGGAGCUCAACUUCGGAACUGCCCUUGAUACAGCACGUCUUGAGUCCGGAAGAGGUGGGUGGAAUUCCUAGUGUAGAGGUGAAAUUCGUAGAUAUUAGGAAGAACACCGGUGGCGAAGGCGGCCCACUGGUCCGGUACUGACGCUGAGGUGCGAAAGCGUGGGGAGCAAACAGG